UACAGAGGUCUCAAGCGUUGUUCGGAUUCAUUGGGCGUAAAGGGUGCGUAGGUGGCGCGGUAAGUCGGGUGUGAAAUUUCGGAGCUUAACUCCGAAACUGCAUUCGAUACUGCCGUGCUUGAGGACUGGAGAGGAGACUGGAAUUUACGAUGUAGCAGUGAAAUGCGUAGAGAUCGUAAGGAAGACCAGUGGCGAAGGCGGGUCUCUGGACAGUUCCUGACACUGAGGCACGAAGGCCAGGGGAGCAAACGGG
rnacentral:rRNA from 1 species